rnacentral:rRNA from 1 species
GACAGAGGGUGCAACCGUUGUUCGGAAUUACUGGGCGUAAAGCGCGUGUAGGCUGCUUCGAAAGUCGGAUGUGAAAGCCCUGGGCUCAACCUAGGAAGUGCAUUCGAAACUUCGAAGCUGGAGUCCUGGAGAGGAAGGCGGAAUUCUCGGUGUAGAGGUGAAAUUCGUAGAUAUCGAGAGGAACACCGGUGGCGAAGGCGGCCUUCUGGACAGUGACUGACGCUGAGACGCGAAAGCGUGGGGAGCAAACAGG